GAAUCCCGUCUUUGGCACGGACCCCCAGGGCUUCUGUGAUGCGCUCUCGAAGAGUCGAGUUGUUUGGGAAUGCAGCUCAAAAUGGGUGGUGAACUCCAUCUAAAGCUAAAUAUUGGCAAGAGACCGAUAGCGAACAAGUACCGUGAGGGAAAGAUGAAAAGCACUUUGGAAAGAGAGUGAAACAGUACGUGAAAUUGUUGAAAGGGAAACGCCUGAAGUCAGUCGCGUCGAUCGAGACUCAGCCUUGCCUCGGCUUGGCGUACUUCUCGGCUUGACGGGUCAGCAUCGAUUUUGACCCUCGGAUAAUGAUGGGGGAAAUGUGACACCUUUAUGGUGUGUUAUAGUCCUCUGUUGUAUGCGCAGGUUGGGAUCGAGGAACUCAGCACGCACCUCUCGGUGUCGGGGCCUCGGCCUACGUUCACGUGCUUAGGAUGCUGGCGUAAUGGCUUUAAACGACCCGUCUUGAAACACGGACCAAGGAGUCUAACAUACGCGCGAGUGUUUGGGUGGAAAACCCAUGCGCGCAAUGAAAGUAAAAGUUGGGACCUCUGUCGUGGAGGGCACCGACGCCCGGACCAGACCUUCUGUGACGGCUCUGCGGUAGAGCGUGUAUGUUGGGACCCGAAAGAUGGUGAACUAUGCCUGAAUAGGGUGAAGCCAGAGGAAACUCUGGUGGAGGCUCGUAGCGAUUCUGACGUGCAAAUCGAUCGUCAAAUUUGGGUAUAGGGGCGAAAGACUAAUCGAACCAUCUAGUAGCUGGUUCCUGCC
rnacentral:rRNA from 1 species